rnacentral:rRNA from 1 species
UAGUCCUGGCUCGAUUGAACGCUGGCGGAUGCUUUACACAUUUAAGUCGAACGUAGCACGGACUUCAGUCUGGUGGCGAGUGGCGAACGGGUGAGUAAUGUAUCCGGAACGUGCCUAGUAGCAGGACAACUACGCGAAAGCGUAGCUAACCCUACGCCCUUCGGAAAGCGAAGGAGACCUUCGGGCCUCACUAUUAGAGCGGCCGAUAUCGGAUAGCUGGUUAAUUUGGGAUAACCGUACAGGCGACGAUCCGUAGCUGGUUUGAGGGGGACGACCAGCCUACACUGGGACUGAGACUGACGAACUCCUACAAGGAGCAGCAGUGGGGAAUUUUGGACAAUGGGGAAGCCUGACCAGCCAUCCCGCAUUGCGAUGAGGCCUUCGGGUUGUAAACGCUUUUGGCGGGGAAGAAACGGCAGGAUAUACCGUGCAACUGGCACCUGCAGAAUAAGCACCGGCUAACUACGUGCCAGCGGCCGCGGUAUUACACGUAGGGUGCAAGCGUUAAUCGGAAUUACUGGGCGUAAAGCGUGCCGACGGUUCAGGAAGAAAAGAUGAUGUGAAAUCGAGCUUAACGCGGUGCAUUUUUAACUACCGAGCAGUGUCAGAGGAGGUGGGGCUCCCGCGUGUAGUGAAAUGCGUGAUAUGCGGAAGACACCGAUGGCGAAGGCAGCCUCUGGGAUAACAUGACGCUCAUGCACAGCGUGAGGCAAACAGGAUUUAGAUACCCUGGUGAUCCGCGCCCUAAAACGAUGUCAACUAGCUGUUUGGGGCUUCGGGCCUUGGUAGCGCAAUAACAUGAAGUUGACCGCUGCCUGGGGAAAUACGGUCACCAAGAUAAAACUCAAAAUUGACGGGGAUUACUACAAGCUGGUGGAUGAUGUGGAUUAAUUCGAUGCAACGCGAAAAGACCUUACCUACCGCCGGUAAUAUCUGGAAUCCCGAAAGAAGAGAUUGGGAGUGCUCGCAAGAGAACCGGAACACGGAUGCGCAUGGCUGUCGUCAGCUCAUGUCGUGGAUGUUGGAUUUGAUCCCGCAACGAGCGCAGCGCGUAUUGGUUGCUACAAAGGUACUCUAAUGAGACUGCCGGUGACAAACCGGAGGAAGGUGGGGAUGACGUCAGUCCUCAUGGCCCUUAUGCGUGGUGGAGCUGCCGUCAUACAAUGGUCGGGACAGAGGGUCGCCAACCCGCGAAGGGGUAAUCCCAGAAACCCGAUCGUAGUCCGGAUCGCAGUCUACGCAACUCGACUGCGUGAAGUCAAGAUCCGCCGUCGUCGCGGAUGUAUGUCGCAGUGGGCUGCCGUUCCCGGGUCCUGUACCACACCGCCCGUCACACCAUGGGAUGGUUUCACGAAGCGGAUUAUUUCGCCGUAAGGAAGGCGAUUAUUACUACUGACAGGAUUCUUGACUGGGGUGAAGUCGUAACUCAGGU